UGGAUCAGCAGCAGGAGAUGCAGCAGUAGCAGCAGCUGCUUAGCAGCAGCUUAGUAGUGGCAGCAGCAGCAGCUGCAGCAAUCAGCAGCAGCAGCUGCAGCUAGUAGCAGCAGCAGGAAAGAAAAGAAAAGAAAGAAAGGAAGAAAAGAAAGAAUACGAAUGAAUGAGGAAAAGGGAGAAAUGGAAAGAAAAGAUCGAAACUAAGUUGAAUUGUAUAGAAAAAGGGUUAGAUGGAAAACUGACCCCGGUAAUGCACUUUUGCAGGAUUGAAGUCCUGACGUGAAAUUGACCGCGUACAAACCA
rnacentral:lncRNA from 1 species